UCUAUGAAGUGAAUGCUCAUCUAGGUGAAAAGACACCCUGUCCUUUUUUUUUUUUUUUCCUAGACAAAACAAGCACAAAAUACCUGAAUGUUUUACAAUUUCUAGUAAAAGUCAGAGGGAAGUCCACAUUUGAGUUAUGUGUCUAAUCAUUUUAUUUCCAGUUUUGGACUAGUAUGGAUCAGCAGGGAAGGGGAGAGGUUGAUGUUUCCUGUGGUAAUUUUCCCAGGACCAUCUCCUGUGUGGAUGUAAUUAUGCCCACAUAAAGGAGCCAGUGGGUUGGAAAAAGAAUCAUUGAUAUGUGAGACUGAAAUGUGAUUAAAUGAAGCAACAUCUGCCUUGUCAGAGAGAGCAGUGAGAAGAGACUUUAUUGCACUGUGUGGUGAAAGAAGGGAGAAAACCGUGAGCUGCUGACACCUCUGGUCUUGCAAAGAAGAGCAGAGCAGAAGGAAUGGUUGGAAAGUCAGGAACAGACUGGACUCCAUGUCCUUCCCAUCUAUGAUGCAACACAUGUUCUUCAGCCCCCAGAGGCCAGCAGGAAAUACGUGAGCAGCACAGCGGCUAAAAUGAGUCUGCUCAAG
rnacentral:lncRNA from 1 species